rnacentral:rRNA from 1 species
GAUGAACGCUGGCGGCGUGCCUAAUACAUGCAAGUCGAGCGAACGGACGAGAAGCUUGCUUCUCUGAUGUUAGCGGCGGACGGGUGAGUAACACGUGGAUAACCUACCUAUAAGACUGGGAUAACUUCGGGAAACCGGAGCUAAUACCGGAUAAUAUUUUGAACCGCAUGGUUCAAAAGUGAAAGACGGUCUUGCUGUCACUUAUAGAUGGAUCCGCGCUGCAUUAGCUAGUUGGUAAGGUAACGGCUUACCAGGGCAACGAUGCAUAGCCGACCUGAGAGGGUGAUCGGCCACACUGGAACUGAGACACGGUCCAGACUCCUACGGGAGGCAGCAGUAGGGAAUCUUCCGCAGUGGGCGAAAGCCUGACGGAGCAACGCCGCGUGAGUGAUGAAGGUCUUCGGAUCGUAAAACUCUGUUAUUAGGGAAGAACAUAUGUGUAAGUAACUGUGCACAUCUUGACGGUACCUAAUCAGAAAGCCACGGCUAACUACGUG